rnacentral:rRNA from 1 species
AUGGAUCCAGGGUUAUUAGAUCGCCGCCGCCGCCAGCAUACGGCUGCAGAUGAAGGCCACAACUCUUCUCUCCGGCUAUCCCCGACGCCAACCCACCAUGCCAUGUCCGCCGGACCGACGACGGCCAGGACGACGUCCGGCGUCCAGCGCUGGAACGAGGAGCUCGACCAGGCUGAGCUGGGCGUCCAACCGGACAAGGCAGCAGUCCACACUGGCGAGUGCGUGCAUGGCCCACCCCUCCGCCCACGGCGAUGCGGCUCCUGGCUGCGCAGCCACAGCGUGGAGCAUCCGCGCGUAUGUGUAUGCGUCAGCGGCCACCCUACACGCUGCAUCUUCAUGAAUACGCCUAUUAAAUCCAGACUUGCAGCAAGGCGUCGCCGCGGUACGACCCAUCACGCCCUCUGCAUCCAAUCUCUCUUUCUAACAUCUAAGUGCAUCAGCAGGUUUGAGCAGAGAAUCUAG